AUUGAACGCUGGCGGCAUGCCUUACACAUGCAAGUCGAACGGCAUCAUGAUCUAGCUUGCUAGAUUGAUGGCGAGUGGCGAACGGGUGAGUAAUACAUCGGAACGUGCCCUGUAGUGGGGGAUAACUAGUCGAAAGAUUAGCUAAUACCGCAUACGACCUGAGGGUGAAAGUGGGGGACCGCAAGGCCUCAUGCUAUAGGAGCGGCCGAUGUCUGAUUAGCUAGUUGGUGAGGUAAAGGCUCACCAAGGCGACGAUCAGUAGCUGGUCUGAGAGGACGAUCAGCCACACUGGGACUGAGACACGGCCCAGACUCCUACGGGAGGCAGCAGUGGGGAAUUUUGGACAAUGGGCGAAAGCCUGAUCCAGCAAUGCCGCGUGUGUGAAGAAGGCCUUCGGGUUGUAAAGCACUUUUGUCCGGAAAGAAAUGGCUCUGGUUAAUACCUGGGGUCGAUGACGGUACCGGAAGAAUAAGAACCGGCUAACUACGUG
rnacentral:rRNA from 1 species